rnacentral:rRNA from 1 species
CCUACGGGAGGCUGCAGUGAGGAAUAUUGGUCAAUGGACGAGAGUCUGAACCAGCCAAGUAGCGUGAAGGAUGACUGCCCUAUGGGUUGUAAACUUCUUUUAUAUGGGAAUAAAAUGUUCCACGUGUGGGAUUUUGUACGUACCAUAUGAAUAAGGAUCGGCUAACUCCGUUCCAGCAGCCGCGGUAAUACGGAGUAUCCGAGCGUUAUCCGGAUUUAUUGGGUUUAAAGGGAACGUAGGUGGAUUGUUAAGUCAGUUGUGAAAGUUUGCGGCUCAACCGUAAAAUUGCAGUUGAAACUGGCAGUCAUAAGUACAGGAGAGGUGGGCGGAAUUCGUGGUGUAGCGGUGAAAUGCUUAGAUAUCACGAAGAACUCCGAUUGCGAAGGCAGUUCACUGGACUGCAACUGACACUGAGGCUCGAAAGUGUGGGUAUCAAACAGGAUUAGAUACCCGUGUAGUC